rnacentral:rRNA from 1 species
CCCUUAGAUGUUCUGGGCCGCACGCGCGCUACACUGACUGGUUCAUCGAGUAUACAACCUUGACUGAUAGGUCUGGGUAAUCUUCUCAAAGCCAGUCGUGCUGGGGAUAGAUUAUUGUAAUUUUCAAUCUUCAACGAGGAAUUCCUAGUAAACGCGAGUCAUCAACUCGCAUUGAUUACGUCCCUGCCCUUUGUACACACCGCCCGUCGCACCUACCGAUUGGAUGGUCCGGUGAAGCCUCGGGAUUGUGGUUCUUGCCGCUUUAUUGUGGCGUGACCGCGAGAACUUGUCUAAACCUUAUCAUCUAGAGGAAGGUGAAGUCGUAACA